rnacentral:rRNA from 1 species
AAUUUUGCGCAAUGGGCGAAAGCCUGACGCAGCAACACCGCGUGUAGGAUGAAGGAUCUUGGUCUGUAAACUACUGUCAGCAGGGAAUAAUUUUGACUGUACCUGCAGAGGAAGCAUCGGCUAACUACGUGCCAGCAGCCGCGGUAAGACGUAGGAUGCAAGCGUUGUCCGGAAUUAUUGGGCGUAAAGAGUUCGUAGGCGGUUAUCCAAGUCUGGUGUUAAAGCCCGAAGCUCAACUUCGGCAUGGCAUUGGAAACUGGAUGGCUAGAGUGUGGUAGAGGUCUCGGGAAUUCCUGGUGUAGCGGUGAAAUGCGUAGAUAUCAGGAGGAACACCGGUGGCGAAAGCGCGAGACUGGGCCAUAACUGACGCUCAGACGCGAAAGCUAGGGUAGUAAAC